UACCACAGUGGUGAUCGAGGUGAGGUGCAUCAAUCAGAAACUUUUCACGCAGCAGCAGAGUCGCCAUGUCUGCAUAACUUGUGGAGAAAAGGAGAAAUUUGCGGAACAUUAUCACGGAAAAGUGCAUCAUGUGUCGUCAUAGCGGCAGGAAUCAUGAAGACAGGUAGCAUCGAGAACUUUCAGGACACCAUCAUGGGAACAGUAAGCUGCAUACUCGCUACUAAAUAUCGGGCCAAUUUAUUCAACAGUGCACCAAGAAUAAAACACCGAGUGAUUCACUAAUUGCUUAUUUGCCAACGGUGAGCAUACACGAUGGAAACAUUUCAUCGCCACUUUAACAAUCAUAAUAGCUUAAAUGUCACCCGUUAGAACAACUCUAUAAUGUACAUAUGUAAAAACAUGAAAUGCGUGUAUAAAAAUAAAACAAUAAGAAAAUAA